AUGGGAGGUGCAGGAGCAGACCUAGGUCACCAAGACCGCGGGAGGAACCGGGGAAGACGAAGGCACACUACUCGUCGGGCGGUGCUCUGCCGGAGCCGAGGAAGACCGGUGUGGGAGCUCGAUUCACUACAGCACUGUGCUGAAUCGUCCAUGGAAAGCGUCAGAGAGACGAAGAGCUCGUUGGGCGGGGCGGGGCGAGGCUGGACGUGGCGGCUCCUGGCGCUGGCUGGAGGGGCCGGCGGCGGCUACGAGCGACGGCGACUCGGCGAAACAAGUUGUUCGCGGCUGGAGGCGGAUCGGAACGCGUAG
rnacentral:rRNA from 1 species